rnacentral:rRNA from 1 species
GACGAACGCUGGCGGCAUGCCUUACACAUGCAAGUCGAACGGCAGCACGGGAGCAAUCCUGGUGGCGAGUGGCGAACGGGUGAGUAAUAUAUCGGAACGUGCCCAGUCGUGGGGGAUAACGUAGCGAAAGCUACGCUAAUACCGCAUACGAUCUAUGGAUGAAAGCGGGGAUCGCAAGACCUCGCGCGAUUGGAGCGGCCGAUAUCAGAUUAGGUAGUUGGUGAGGUAAAGGCUCACCAAGCCGACGAUCUGUAGCUGGUCUGAGAGGACGACCAGCCACACUGGGACUGAGACACGGCCCAGACUCCUACGGGAGGCAGCAGUGGGGAAUUUUGGACAAUGGGCGCAAGCCUGAUCCAGCAAUGCCGCGUGCAGGAUGAUGGCCUUCGGGUUGUAAACUGCUUUUGUACGGAACGAAACGGCGAGCUCUAAUACAGUUUGCUAAUGACGGUACCGUAAGAAUAAGCACCGGCUAACUACGUGCCAGCCGCCGCGGUAA